CUUUGGGCUAAGCCCUCAUUGGUGGAUAUCCAGUUUUCCACCCACAUUUUUCUUCCAAACAAGCUUGUUCUUGAUUAUGG